GCCUGGCUGGCUCAGUUGGUGGAGCAUGUAACUCUUAAUCUCAGGGUCAUGAGUUUGAGCCCCAUAUCGGGCA
rnacentral:tRNA from 1 species